rnacentral:lncRNA from 1 species
CAGUGGUAGUCCUAGGCCUAGUGCAACGCCUUCUGGGCAGCAGCCACCUCCUUUUGCUGGUGUGCCACCUGAGAGUCGUCCAGGACCUCCUCCACCUGGCGCAUUCCAAAGGGGUCCUACGCAAGCUACAUUGCCUCCCAAUUUAAUUUCUAGACCAUCUGGCCCUCCUUCUGUGGGUCAACCUACACCACCCUUUGCAUCUAGGCCGCCUCUUGCUGGUGCAGUGCCUCCUUCUGUGGGUGGUACUGCCAUUCGCCCGCCACCUAGUGCUUUGCCUUCUGCACAAGGUCCUCGUGCCGGCCCACCAGGACCUUUUGCUGCUUCAACAAGCCCUCUUGUGCCGCCUUCUGGUGUUUCUAGUUCAGCUAGUAAUGGUCCACCUGCACUUGGUCCGGGGACAAUGCAGAAUGGACCACAUUUUUCUCCGGCAAGCAAUACAAUGAGGCCACCAGCUGGAGCUCCUCCAUCAGCAAUGUUAUCAUCUGGAAAUCCUUCUCACCCUCCAAGGAUGCGUUCACCCUUUGGAAGUCCACCUGCCAGCACAACAUCAGUUACUGCACAACCGCCACCUCCAUUUCCGGGAUCAG